UGAACUCAGCAGAAUCCCAGCAGGGUU
rnacentral:piRNA from 1 species